rnacentral:rRNA from 1 species
CAGUCGCCACGGUAAUACGGAGGGUGCAAGCGUUAAUCGGAAUUACUGGGCGUAAAGCGCACGCAGGCGGUCUGACAAGUCAGAUGUGAAAUCCCCGGGCUUAACCUGGGAACUGCAUUUGAAACUGGCAGGCUAGAGUCUUGUAGAGGGGGGUAGAAUUCCAGGUGUAGCGGUGAAAUGCGUAGAGAUCUGGAGGAAUACCGGUGGCGAAGGCGGCCCCCUGGACAAAGACUGACGCUCAGGUGCGAAAGCGUGGGGAGCAAACAGGAUUAGAUACCCCAGUAGUCCCUGUCUCUUAUAC